rnacentral:rRNA from 1 species
GGGGAAUUGUUCGCAAUGGGCGCAAGCCUGACGACGCAACGCCGCGUGGAGGAUGAAGAUCUUCGGGUCGUAAACUCCUGUCGAAUGGGACGAAUAGAUUGCGGGUUAACAGCCCGUGAUCCUGACGGUACCGUUAAAGGAAACCCCGGCUAACUCCGUGCCAGCAGCCGCGGUAAUACGGGGGGGGUAAGCGUUGUUCGGAAUUACUGGGCGUAAAGGGCUCGUAGGCGGCCAACUAAGUCAUACGUGAAAUCCCUCAGCUUAACUGGGGAACUGCGUCUGAUACUGGUUGGCUUGAAUUCGGGAGAGGGAUGCAGAAUUCCAGGUGUAGCGGUGAAAUGCGUAGAUAUCUGGAGGAAUACCGGUGGCGAAGGCGGCAUCCUGGACCGAGAUUGACACUGAGGAGCGAAAGCCAGGGGAGCAAA